rnacentral:rRNA from 1 species
GACAGAGGUGCCAAGCGUUAGGCGGAAUCACUGGGCUUAAAGCGCGUGUAGGUGGCGGCCUAAGUACCUUGUGAAAUCCUGCGGCUCAACCGCAGAACUGCUUGGUAUACUGGGUCGCUUGAGACAUUCAGGGGCAACUGGAACAAGCGGUGGAGCGGUGAAAUGCGUAGAUAUCGCUUGGAACGCCAAAGGUGAAAAACAGGUUGCUGGGGAUGUUCUGACACUGAGACGCGAAAGCCAGGGGAGCGAACGGG